AGAGUUUGAUCCUGGCUCAGGAUGAACGCUGGCGGCGUGCCUAAUACAUGCAAGUCGAGCGAACGGACGAGAAGCCUGCUUCUCUGAUGUUAGCGGCGGACGGGUGAGUAACACGUGGAUAACCUACCUAUAAGACUGGGAUAACUUCGGGAAACCGGAGCUAAUACCGGAUAAUAUUUUGAACCGCAUGGUUCAAAAGUGAAAGGCGGUCUUGCUGUCACUUAUAGAUGGAUCCGCGCUGCAUUAGCUAGUUGGUAAGGUAACGGCUUACCAAGGCAACGAUGCAUAGCCGACCUGAGAGGGUGAUCGGCCACACUGGAACUGAGACACGGUCCAGACUCCUACGGGAGGCAGCAGUAGGGAAUCUUCCGCAAUGGGCGAAAGCCUGACGGAGCAACGCCGCGUGAGUGAUGAAGGUCUUCGGAUCGUAAAACUCUGUUAUUAGGGAAGAACAUAUGUGUAAGUAACUGUGCACAUCUUGACGGUACCUAAUCAGAAAGCCACGGCUAACUACGUGCCAGCAGCCGCGGUAAUACGUAGGUGGCAAGCGUUAUCCGGAAUUAUUGGGCGUAAAGCGCGCGUAGGCGGUUUUUUAAGUCUGAUGUGAAAGCCCACGGCUCAACCGUGGAGGGUCAUUGGAAACUGGAAAACUUGGGUGCAGAAGAGGAAAGUGGAAUUCCAUGUGUAGCGGUGAAAUGCGCAGAGAUAAGGAGGAACACCAGUGGCGAAGGCGACUUUCUGGUCUGUAACUGACGCUGAUGUGCGAAAGC
rnacentral:rRNA from 1 species